rnacentral:lncRNA from 1 species
CAUUUUUAUCUCCCAAAAAUUCCGAGUUGGUGCUGAAACUCUAUCGCACCUAAUACCAACCCUGAGCCCUUAAUCCCAAUAUUCCUUGAAACCCUAAAUCUAUAUCAAUACCAAUUGCUCCUGUUCAGUGGACUCCGAAGGACAGGAAAAAGGCAUCGCAUGAAGCUUGAUUCUGAGUCAGCGGGUGCCGAGCCUAGAGGCCCAGCUUGAGGUUCGCCCCCUCCUCUUCUCUUUCUUUUCAUAUUUUGUGUAUUUAUAAAACAUUUUCUCAAUCUCCCCCUCUUUUCUCGUAAAACCCCUCUUUCAUGCCUUCUUGCAAAUUUUCAAGUUUACUGCUUCACGAUCUGGCACCAACGGUAAUCCGUAUGAGAGUGGUUUCAUGGUCAGUCUCUCAUCUGAGUUACAAUUCGACGAGACCCUUUAUUCCUUCCACUGAUUAACGAGUUUAAACGGAAAACAAGGCGGAGGUUACAUUUGCUCUGCCAAAAAUUCAUAUAUAAACAGAAGCAAAGCGACAUCUUUUUCUUGAUCCACAUUCUUCAUAGAGUCUAUAAGGUUAUAGACAUCUUUUUUUAAAAAUGGAAAUUGUCCACAUGCAACAUCCUUUUCUAUUUUAAGCCCACACAUAAUAUCUUUAUAAACCAACUUUUUCAAGGUUUAAUAUACAACACUUGUCUCUUUCAGAUAUUCUUUACAAUCUAAAAGGCGCCUCACUUCUUGUGGUUGCAAUAAGUUGUGACUGUGUUCAUUCACAAUUGUUAUGACUUACCAAUAUGAGAAACCUGACAGAAUUUUUUUGUAAUUGUCAUGUGGAUGCCACAACCACAUCUUGGUGGCUUGAAAUUCCUUUCUCCUACCAUUUUUCUUGGUCCCUUAUGUGUCAUGUGGCCAGCAAGGUGACAUGCAUAAAACCUUUAAAACAAUAUUGUCUUUUUUUUAUUGGAAAAGGUUUAUAUAUACCCGAGGGGCUAAACAAUCAAAUUAAAGCCCACCUCAAAAAUUUCACAAGAAGAGGUUGUUUAGGUUGUUUUGAUGCCCAAAUAUCCUCAAAUUGAUCAUCUUGACAUCAAGAUGCAUGCACAUGAGAAAAAAAGUCGAAUACGUUUUGUUCGUCAUCUUACUCAAAUAACAUCAAAUUAAUUAUUUUGUUGGUCAUCUUACUCAUAUACGAUUAUUACUUAAAUAAUAAUAGGUGCAAUAUAUUUAUUGGCCAUCUUACUCAUAUAUAAUUGGUAUUAUUUUAUAAUUAAAUACGUUAUAAAUAAUAAUAAUAUGAGUGGAACAUAUUUCAUUCAUCUUGCUCAUAGUUUAUUAUUAUUAUUUAAGAAUUAUGUUAGAAUAUGUGUCAAUCAAAAUUUGAGUGUAAAAUUUAUAAGAUCUGAACUGGAUGAAAGCAGGCUUGGGGUGUGGUGGUAGUAGCGAAACUAAACAUGUACACAAGAUUGUGUAGACCACCUGGAGUUAGUAGAAACCACUUGCAUGAUAGGGAGGGCAUGAAGCUCGUGUCAAGACCCAAAAAAAACACUUGGAUGACAUUCGGGGGAAACAACAUUAGUCAUGGUGGCAUCAGUACACCUAGCCAUGAAAUCUAGGCAUGGUGGCGGCAUUAGGUAUAGGUCAUGCAGGCAACAAAUGGGACGUGGUGGUGAGAGAGCGUACCACACACUAGGUUACAUGGUGGUUGCAGGAGGACCGACCAUGUGUGCAUGAUGGGAAGGUUGGUGGUUGAAAUGGACACAAUCAAUGUGUGGAGAUGGGUAUCGGUUGGAACUGUAGUUUAUGGGGACCCAGUUAAGUUCAAGCAUCCAAUGAGGACGUCGGAGUUUAGGAUUGUGGAGGCCUAUAAGACCCUUUUUCUCUGUAAGCCUCAUGUGACCCAUGUGAUAUAUGUGUUCAAGCAGCCAGGUACAAAAGGCCUGGUGCAAGGGUACGACAAUGCGGACAAGUGUAAACUGAUAGGAGGAAACCAAGGGCCUGACAAUUGGGGACCUUGGGGUGACCAAUGGAAUGCAGUCAACAUGCAUAGGGCCGUGGUGCACGACCAAGUGAGUGGAGCAUGAUGAGAGCAGGCGGUACACGACCAUAGGCCGGCAAUGUGCGACUGAGGAUUGGUGGCACUUUACCCUUGUAAGUAUGCACUUCUGCUAUGUGGUGCCACUAAGAGACGAGGCAUGCAAGCAUUGCCCACUUGGGCGCUAGCACGGGCUAGCCUAUGAAAUAGUAAUCAUCAAAUUAUAAAAGGAAUGGCUAAAUUAGUUUAACAAUAAAUUGUCAAAACCAGGUUUUACAUUUAGAUGAAUCAAAUAGGGGAUUUGUUACAUGCUAGGUUCAACCGGAUGCCCAAAUGGCAUUGUUCCUAAAACCAUGUCUUACAAAUCCUAGAAUUUGUAUUCCUAGGAUUGAUCCAUAUCUAGGUGUAGCAAAUACCAGGUUCCAAACGACCUAUGAAAUACUCUAGGUGGUUAUUUGGAUACCCAUUUGCAAGAGAAAACGGUGGGAGUUGGGACACCUUUAAAAGGGGAGGUUGUUUAUUUUGAGUCCUUCCCGUCUCUCUCAAAAAAGUUCAAGGAGCAUACCUAGAUUCUUUCUUUUUAGAAUUCGUAUUUCUUUCCAUCUGAUCCAACCCUAAAGAUCCGAUAUUGCCGUGUGAGAACUCUCAAGCCCUCUACUGAUCACCUUGGGAUUUGCAUUCUAAACCAUACUUCUAACUCUGGCAAUUAAAAGAAGGAGACCUACGGUGGCGAUAUCAAACUCUAGAUGCCACAUAAAUGAAUGAUCAAUAUUCAAAAAAGAAAAUUUGAUAUGGAAAAAGUACAUAACUUCCAUCCAAUCCUCAUAGUUGAAUUUUAUGGUGGUUUCCACUGCAUCGGGAUCAAUAUCCAACCAUACUCCAACUAGGUAUAUAGUCCAUAUACAAUAUAUUUACAGGGUGACCAUAUGACCGCCGUACAUGUAGCGGGUUAACUCAUUUUAACAUAAUAUUACCACUUACAUAUGUAAGGAAAAGUGUAAUACAUAGAAGCCACCAUUAAACUUGGCCUUUUGGAUGUGAAAUCGUUGGUCCAAAGUGUAUACAAUCCCCAUAUAUAUAAGCAUACACAAAUGUUUAAAAACCGCUGGUCUAGAUUGGAAUUGCCCAAUCUGGACCGAGAUUCAAGCGUGACCGAUUACGUUCUUGGGUUGAAUCAUUUUUCUAUGUUAGUGACUCUUUUUACUAUUGCUUUGGGGCCAAUUUGGAUAUCCAUUUAUGAGAAGAUUCGUUUCCUUAGAGAUCGGGCAUUUCUUCAGUUUGGAUGUCUUUUGAAGAUCGAGUAUACAUCUCCGCACGGAUAAUGAUAAUGAUAAUGAUAAUGAUAAUAAUAAUAACAAUAAUAACAACAAAAACAAUUAUAGAUCACCUUAAUCUAUCAAUAAAUUAUGCGUAGUAAUUUAAACUUUUUCCCCAAUCAGUAUGAUGAGAAUCGUGCAAAACGAGAAUGUCAUAAAUUUUUGGAAACACAUCUUCCAGGCAAUACAAACAGUGGACAUGCAUCUUCUAGAUCUCUUAUUAGAUACUAUCCAAGCAGUCGACACCUAUAUUCUUAUCAGUUGUUAUUUAAACAGUGGACCCCCAUAUUCUAGGACUGUUGAUUUAAUUUGUAUCUCCAUGUAUCCAAACGGGCCCUAAUGGAGUACAUUGCAUAUAUUUGUCCAAGUGUUUUAUUUUAAAUAGGGUGUGCCUUACAUCUUGUCUACAGCAAUCAGAGAACCUUUGAUCUAUCGCUAUAAAACUAGUUAAUUAAAUUUUUUAUAGAGUUGUGAGAACGGUCAAAUUAUGAUUUAAAAACUAAUUAACCUCAAAAGACCAAUUUCUGUUCAAAUCAAUUUUUUUUUUUUGGUAAGUCAGUGUAGGAGAGGCCCCCUAUUCAUUUUUGUUUUUAUUAUUAAUAAAAAAUUAAAAGAGAAACAACUCAUUACUUUGCAACCCUACAAAAAGGCAGUUGUGCCAGAUCAUGAACUAAAACCAGGGAAAUAAAGUCCGUCGAACGAAAGCGCCAAACAGUAGCUUCAGAACUAAAUGAGGAUUUCUUGGCAAGGGCAUCAGCCACCAUGUUAGCCCACGAAAGAUAUUGGAAAUUGACCACAUACGAUAGGAAAGUCUGUACCAGCAAUUCUCUGCAAUUGUAUAUAUAUAACAUCCAUGGAGCUUGACAAUGAUAAUUUCUCUUGAAAUCAUUGGAAAUGCUAACUUGAUCUUUUUGUCAAAAUAAAGGAAAUCUGCUACAAAAUUAAGUCUACUUAAAAUAUUCAAACUAACCGAAAUUAAAGAAAAAAAUGAAAUAAAAGUUUAAACUCGAGACGCCCGAAGUUAGUGGUGCUGCCCGUAUCAAGACCGCAGGUUAUUUACGUGUCUUUGCCUUCACUUUUUCUAUUAGAAAUUGGUUGACUUUCCCAUUUGAUAUGCUGGAAAUAUUGGCUAUGGAUGGUUUUUGUUUUGUUUUUUUGGGUGAGUACUAUGGAUGUAUGAGAGAGGUUAGCAUUGAAUUAAGUGUUUCGUAUCUUAAAUCUAAGGUCAUGGCUUCUAGGAUCUAAUGUUUGAUGGCUAAAGUUCUAAGCUAAGGUUAAGAGGAUCUAGGCUAGGGCUUUAUUCUCUAGGAUUUUUUGUUUAAGUAUCUUGGGGGUUAGUCUUCUUAAGUGUAGGUUUACUUUCGGAUUAGGUCUCUACAUCUAAGAUUAUGUGUUGGUCUAUUGAAUGAUCUGAAAUAGAACCCUUAUAUAGGCUUCAAAAGUUUGUUCUAAGUCAGUCAAAAAUGAUUUCUAAUGGAUUUUUACAGAAAAUUUGAGUUAACAAAGUCAAAAGGUUUAGAUGCAACAAAAAGUGGUGUUUUCAGACUUUUAAUCUAGAGGCCACAAAAACUAGCGUCUAAAACAUGGUUGGCUAAUUUUUUGGGAUUUCGCUGAUGUUCUUGAUCCAAAUUCCGUAUUUUCUUGAGCAUACUUAUCUCGAAAGAUUUUAUCUAAGUCGGUUUUUCUAUUUUCUAGUGUUUAGGAUGACGAGAUUUUAAAAUGGUUUCCUAGGGUUUUAAUAUUAUCUUGGAGAUUCUCUAUAAUGUUCUAGGAGGUUGGGACCAUGGUCCAAAGGACCAUAUAAAAGAUAGACUAUGGUGUAUUUAGAUAGGAUGGUCCCUAAGGGUCUACAAGGUAUUUCUAAGGCACUUUUAGAGAUUUAACAUUAAGAAAAAUAACCAAAUUCAAAAUGGUAUAUCUACACAUCUUAAAAGGUAAACGAUGGUUCUAAACCCAUAACCUUGCAGCUGCUUGCUGGAGGACCUACCGAUGUACUCGCUCCACACCAUGUGCCUUUAAAUUGUGAUAUAAAUUAGAAUUGCACUUUAUUCAAUUCUUAUUUAUUUUUUUAUUUUAUGGGAUGAUGGAUGCAGACCAAUCCGAUUAGCAAUCUGGCCAGAUGAUAUGCCCCUCCGAUCCGGGUUUUAAAAAACUAGUCAUAACAUAUAUGUACGUGGGAUGUGCCAUAUAAGUAUCAAAAUUACAAUAAUUAUAAGUGAUACCACUCAUAUACAAGAUAUAACUCACAUAUACUAUUAUAUCAUUAAGGAAAAAAUUUAUAUAAAGUUGCAAUUUUAAACUGUAUAAUUAAGAUGCAACUUAAAAAUCCAUCGAAAAAAGUGUUUUGAGUUUGGGAACCUUUUAAUUGAUCAUGUCAACAUCGAAAUAUAUGGAUAAAAUAAAAAAUAAAAACAUUUAAGUCAAACAUAAUGCAUCUUGCAAUAUAUUAUCUAAGAUCGUUUCAAGAUUUUCAUGUGUAUUGCUUGAUUUGAUCCAUUUUUUGAAUUAAAAGUUUUAUAAAAUAGAUCCUCAAAUCAUCCCAAGAAUUUUCGCCUCCAAAAUCGUAUCUUACAGUGAGGUGCACAUUUCCAAUGUCGCAACCUAAUGCAAACCACACCCGUUAGUUAAUAUCCAGCAUGGUAAUACAUGAUAUCGCCAUAAUAAUACGAACCACUAUCAUAUUUUCAGCACACAGUGACCAACACAAAUAUUACAUUUAUGAGGUGGAAAAUGUGUUAACAACGUGGUUUGCAUGAUGCACAGUGCAAAACCUAGUAAUUUUACUGUGUACGGUUAUGUAUGACUAGUCAAAUAAGUAAUGUUGUAACCAGGGUUUGAAAACUCGUCAAGUCGAGUCGGAUUCAUUUGGUUCGACUCGAGAAUCGUCUACAACCAAGCCGGUUUCACGAAAAAACAAGGAAUCGCUCGUGUCCAGAGAGAAUCAGGCGAUUCCCAAAAGAGAGAACCCCAAAAGACAGAACCGGGCGAUUCCCUUUUGGGAAUCGCGAGUCUUACACGUGGCCUCUUCACGGGAGCAACACGUGGUACCUAAAAAUCCUCCACACGUGGUAAUUCACCUCACAUGUCGGCCCCAUCGUUUUUCUACACGCGCAAUGCAACAUCUAUUACACAUGAAUUUAUAGAGAACAAAACAAAGCUUAUCCUUCGAUGAGAGAUAAUUUCCACAAAAGAUCAUUAAAGCAAGACGAUUGAAUAUAUAUUUUAUAGUAGCUAAUAACAUCACAUUAGGGAACGAGACGGUGUUGGUUGACAUCUACAAUUUUUCGGUGGACGUCUAGACUUCGAACCCCUUAGCGCGCGUCCUCGUUUAUAUUUUUGUUGUCAAAAGAAUAAGCAAAGGCAGAAAAUACUGUUGUAAAAAAAUAGAAAAAAUAAAAAAUAAAAGGCUUUUCAAGAUAAAGAUAAAAAAGAUAAUACAACAUUUUUUUAUUUUUCUUGUAAAAAAAAUACAAAGUUAUAUAACAAGUAUUUUUUGCAAAAAAAUAAAACAAAAUGCAUCAAAAAUAAAAUGCACUUUGGCAACAUCAUUUUUUUAUUUUUCUUGUAAAAAAAAUAAAAAUUAAUACAAGCAAAAAAAAAUGUGAUACAACAUCUUCUUCUUUUGUCAAAAAAAAAAAGAAGAUAAUCAACAAGUAUCAUAUUUUUCUUGUAAAAAAAAAAAAAUAAUAACACAAUAAGUAUUUCUUGUCAAAAAAAUAAAAGGUAUUUAUUAAUACAACCUAGGAAUAAAUGGUCUAAUUAUAUUUUUUAUUUUUAUAACAUGAUGGUCUUUAACAUAAAUUUAGUAAUAUUAAUUUAAAUAUAGGAUUCAUACAAUGAGGCCAUUUGAAUCUCUCUCUGUCUACUAACAAUCUCUUCCACUAAUUUAUUUUAGAAACCUAAAAAAUUAAAGAAAAUUGGUACGCAUUCUAAUAAUUUCUUCAUUGAUAACCAAAUAUUUUAUUUUAUUUAUUAAUUUUUGUAUUAUAAAUCAUGUAGUGUACUAUUUUUAUUACAGUUGUCAAUAAUACAUUAUAAAUUAGAUGAUAUUAUAAAAUAUUUUGAAUUUGUUAUUAUUUUUAUAAUAAAAUAAUUAUAAAAUAUUGUUGAUAUAUAAUAUUACAGUUAGUUAGGUUGUAAUAAUUUGGAUUUUUUUAGCAUAUUAGGGUUUUCCGCCAAUUUGAAAUUUUAGUGGCCAAUUUUUCAUCGAUUUAGUCAACUCUUUAUUGUAGUCCAUAUAUGAUUAUAUACUUAAUCCAUGAUAAUUCUAUGAUUUCUUUUGUGUGAUGUAAAUUUAAUGAUCAACAUAAGUUCAUACAAGGAAAGAACAUCCCAAUAUUCAUAAAUUGAUGAAAACAAUAAAAGAUAAUAAUGCAAUACCCUUAUUUCUUAUUGGAUUCCUAAAAAACAUAUUUAUAAUGAAUUUUAAUAAUUUUUUUUAAUUUUUUUAAAGCUUAAUCCGAACGAUUUAGCCCGAUCCGAAAUCCGGAUCAAUUUUUGAAAUGUCCGAUCCGGGUCACCGAUCCGUUAAACAUUGGUUGUAACAUAAUGAGUGCAACGUAUUGUAUGUUAAGAAACGAGCCCAAGUUUAAUUGGUUAGCAUUUGGUGAUUUGCAACGCUAGAUCCUAAACAAUUGCUACCAAGGGUCUCCCCACUUAGUCAACCCAAAAAAAAAAUUCUUGCUUACGAAUUUCUUCACUUUUCCCUUCAAAGUCAAUUUUGAAAAUGACAUGGGGCUUUGUUAAUAAUACUGCUGAAUCCCAUGAUGAAGUUUUCGACUCCAUUCGCAUUAAAACGUAAGGGCCCAAAUCCCCACUGACUGACCCCUUUUUUCUUAACCAUAAUGACACUAGAAAAAAGAGCCCAAGCUUAAGUGAUUAACGCUUUACGAUUUGCAAAGCUACAUCUUAAGCUCAAUUCCUACGAAAGAUAGGAGCCCUUUAUCCCGACUCACCAAAAAAAAAACUAUAAUUUCUCCCCAUUGAAUAAUAAAAAAAAAAAUUUCACUUACCCCAAAAAUAUAACACACUGAGUUGCAUGCAUAUUACUGAUGUUGACGUAGUAUACACCACCAUAUAAUGUGUACAGGUGCAUGUAAUUGACUAUAUACAAGUACACAAAAGCACAAAUGGUAAUUUGUUUGUAGGUUGACAGCGUAGGUAUUAAAGGUCACCAAACAUAUGCUGACCAUGUUUAGGCAUGGUGCAUACACGACCCUUGUACAAUAUAUGAUGCAUUUCUCACCAUUAUAUAUACACUACCAUGUAUAUCCCAAGUGUAGUCCAACCUCUACCAUCACCAUCCAGAGACUGGUUUGGUAGUGUUGAAAACCGUUACCAUAGAUCAUGGAGUCGGAGAUCAUACUAACCCCCUCAAAACGAACUUCUCAUAAUAGCUGAUUGAGAGCUCCCAAUACAAAUAAAUAAAUAAGAAAGCGGUAUCACAGUCAUUCUAUGAAAAUUUAUUGACCAUCCCACAAUAAUCAAGUACGGGAUAUAUUCCCUAUUCAGAAGUGUAUAUAUAUAUAGCGCAAGAGAAGGAAACAUAUAUAGCGCAAGAGAGAAGGAAACAGACCACAUACUUCUGGUACACAAAAAUUACAAUCAUUGUUGACCAUUAAAUGUGAAACCAUUAAAUGUGAAAUCAAGUGGAAUACGAUGUAUCAUUGAUUGGCACAAAGCCCCAAUUAAAACUUCUUGAAAGUCGUAACUCAAUUUAAUGUGUAAAUUUCACGUCCAAUGACUACAGCGAUCGCAACAUCCUUGUACUAUGCAUACAAUACAUAUAGUAUUGUCUCAGAGACAUUGAGCUGUUUAUGUUUGAAAUUUUGAUGCAGCAGGUGAUUUGUUUAGAAUGUUGAAUUGAAGAGUCAUAACAUCUAGAGGCCCAUUCCAACACAACAAUCACUCCCUCCUGUGGAAGAGCAUUAGAAAAGCA